CGAACGCUGGCGGCACGCUUAACACAUGCAAGUCGACCGAGAGAAGAGAAGCUUGCUUUUCUGAUCUAGUGGCGGACGGGUGAGUAACACGUGAGCAAUCUGCCUUUCAGAGGGGGAUACCGAUUGGAAACGAUCGUUAAUACCGCAUAACAUAAUUGAACCGCAUGAUUUGAUUAUCAAAGAUUUAUCGCUGAAAGAUGAGCUCGCGUCUGAUUAGCUAGUUGGUAAGGUAACGGCUUACCAAGGCGACGAUCAGUAGCCGGACUGAGAGGUUGAUCGGCCACAUUGGGACUGAGACACGGCCCAGACUCCUACGGGAGGCAGCAGUGGGGAAUAUUGCACAAUGGAGGAAACUCUGAUGCAGCGAUGCCGCGUGAGGGAAGAAGGUUUUAGGAUUGUAAACCUCUGUCUUCAGGGACGAAAAAAGACGGUACCUGAGGAGGAAGCUCCGGCUAACUACGUG
rnacentral:rRNA from 1 species